UUAAGUUCAGCGGGUCUUCCUACCUGAUCCGAGGUCAACCUAGUGCUAAUAAAAGCUUGGUUUUACGGCUGGUACCCGCAGCACGCCCUGAGCGAGCUUGAUGCUACUACGCUCGGUGUGUCAGCGAGCCCGCCACUGAAUCAGGGCCUGCGGGCAGCCCGCAGGUCCCCAACACAAGCCGGGGGCUUGAUGGUUGAAAU
rnacentral:misc_RNA from 1 species